GAUGAACGCUGGCGGCGUGCCUAAUACAUGCAAGUCGAGCGAACAGAUGAGGAGCUUGCUCCUCUGACGUUAGCGGCGGACGGGUGAGUAACACGUGGAUAACCUACCUAUAAGACUGGGAUAACUUCGGGAAACCGGAGCUAAUACCGGAUAAUAUAUUGAACCGCAUGGUUCAAUAGUGAAAGACGGUUUUGCUGUCACUUAUAGAUGGAUCCGCGCCGCAUUAGUUAGUUGGUAAGGUAACGGCUUAUCAAGGCAACGAUGCGUAGCCGACCUGAGAGGGUGAUCGGCCACACUAGAACUGAAACACGGUCCAGACUCCUACGGGAGGCAGCAGUAGGGAAUCUUCCGCAAUGGGCGAAAGCCUGACGGAGCAACGCCGCGUGAGUGAUGAAGGUCUUCGGAUCGUAAAACUCUGUUAUGAGGGAAGAACAAAUGUGUAAGUAACUAUGCACGUCUUGACGGUACCUAAUCAGAAAGCCACGGCUAACUACGUG
rnacentral:rRNA from 1 species